ensembl:lncRNA
CCAGGCCUGGGACCGGUCCUCGUAGGGCAAGCCGUGUCCAGCUGUUCUUCCCCGCUCCCUCCCUGUCCUCUGGGACUGAGUGGGAUACUACUACCCACCCACCUUCUUGGUCACACUACCUGAGUGGCUUCAGCCUAAGUGGGGUCAGUGCUCUCAGUAGUCCCUUCUUCAGUUCAGCCUGGAGACUAGCUCCAGCCUCCACCUCCAGGGCCACUCCCUCAGAGCAUCACUCUGCUCAGAGAGCAGGUCUGGGGAAUUUCAUGCUGUCCCCUCCAGAACUUCAGCACCAACACAGUCCCAGACCGGGGAUCCAUCAGCAGCCGCAGGAGGAGCGCCAAGAUGGGGAUGGGAGGGCAGGGGAGGCAGGGUGGUGGGUUUCAGACUGAGAAGGAGGUCCAGGGAGAUCCGAUGGUGGUGGGAAGGAGGAGGUAAUAAGAUAGGGGACACAACGCUGUUCCAGCUCAGCUAACAACAACCUGGAAGACUUCCCACCUAUGGGAACGUUGCACGCCUCACCACCUAGACUGCAGACAGAACCAUCAGGGAGGAUCAACCCAACCCCAGUCAGUGCAGAGCGGCCUCACUCCAGACCUAAGACUUUCACUUCCACCCCGUUCAGCACCAGGCCCUCCAGCCCUCCACAGUCCCAGAGGCAGUCACUGGGGCCCUAAACGUCAAUGUGGGCAGCCCCCCUCUGUCUGCAGGAGGAGUGAGAACUGCUAAAGAGAGAGAAACUAUAUGUUUUACUUCUCCGAGGACAGGUUUCCCAGACACGGAGUAAGCCUUGUCCUGGACUAAAUUCAUGCUCCAUGGAAAAUCUCAAUUAAUAUCUGGUUCCCAAUGUGUUCCUGGAGCUUUUCUUUGUGCUACAGCUAGCUGACGUCUAGAACACCCUCCGUCACAGAGGAAGAGGAGGAAGAUCUAAGUAUAGAGAAGUCAGAUGUCCUGGAAAGAGGUUACUACAGAAAUAUGCACAACUGUGUCUACUUCUCUGUCAGGGUGCUGGAGAAUCAGUUUGAGGCCCCCCAGGUGUGGGAGCUGGUCCAUGGUGGAGAGAGGUUGCUGAGGGAGGGGCUGAUCUCACCAGUGGCCAACCCUCUGAAACCCAAGGACUCCAUCUGUGCUCAGCUCUGUAACGUGGAGCCAGCAGGCUCUGCCGAGAGAUACCAGGUUCUGCAGUGUGAAAGGUUUGGAAGACUUCAGGGUGUUCCUUCCUGAUGAAACUUCUCCUGCUAUUCUCACCACGUCUGAGAACAUCCAGUCUCGUCCCAGCUCAGUGCCCUCAGAGACUGGUGGUGUGGGUGGGGCCGAGGCUAAGACUGGAAGUGGGGCCGGUGCUGCGACGGCACCCAGGAACAGCCACGGACACCAAGACAGGAAAAGGCAAGGUGGCUUUGACAUUAUUAUGGUGAUGAUGGUUAUUAUGGUGAUGAUGGUUAUUAUGGUGAUGAUGGUUAUUAUGGGGAUGAUGGUUAUUAUGGUGGUGAUGAUGGUUAUUGUGAUGAUGGUUAUUAUGGUGAUGAUCGUUAUUAUGGUGAUCGUUAUUAUGGUGAUGAUCGUUAUUAUGGGGAUGAUGGUUAUUAUGGUGAUGAUCGUUAUUAUGGGGAUGAUGGUUAUUAUGGUGGUGAUGAUGGUUAUUAUGGUGAUGAUGGUUAUUAUGGUGAUGAUUGUUAUUAUGGGGAUGAUGGUUAUUAUGGUGGUGAUGAUGAUGGUUAUUAUGGGGAUGAUGGUUAUUAUGGGGAUGAUGGUUAUUAUGGGGAUGAUGGUUAUUAUGGGGAUGAUGAUGAUGGUUAUUAUGGGGAUGAUGAUGGUUAUUAUGGUGGUGAUGAUGAUGGUUAUUAUGGGGAUGAUGGUUAUUAUGGGGAUGAUGGUUCUUAUGGUGGUGAUGAUGAUGGUUAUUAUGGGGAUGAUGGUUAUUAUGGUGAUGAUGGUUAUUAUGGUGGUGAUGAUGAUGGUUAUUAUGGUGAUGAUGGUUAUUAUGGUGUUGAUGGUUAUGGUGUUGAUGGUUAUUAUGGGAAUGAUGGUUAUUAUGGUGAUGAUGGUUAUUAUGGUGAUGAGGAUAGUUAUUAUGGUGAUUAUGGUGAUGAUGAUGGUGGUUAUUGUGGUGGUGAUGAUGAUGGUUAUUAUGGGGAUGAUGUUAUUAUGGUGAUGAUGAUGAUGAUGGUUAUUAUGGGGAUGAUGAUGGUUAUUAUGGUGGUGAUGAUGAUGGUUAUUAUGGGGAUGAUGAUGGUUAUUAUGGUGGUGAUGAUGAUGGUUAUUAUGGGGAUGAUGGUUAUUAUGGUGGUGGUGAUGAUGGUUAUUAUGGUGAUGAUGGUUAUUAUGGUGGUGAUGAUGAUGGUUAUUAUGGUGAUGAUGGUUAUUAUGGUGUUGAUGGUUAUUAUGGGAAUGAUGGUUAUUAUGGUGAUGAUGGUUAUUAUGGUGGUGAGGAUAGUUAUUAUGGUGAUUAUGGUGAUGAUGAUGGUUAUUGUGGUGGUGGUGAUGAUUAUGGUGUUGAUGGUUAUUAUGGGGAUGAUGGUUAUUAUGGUAAUUAUGGUUAUGGUGUUGAUGGUUAUUAUGGUGAUGAUGGUGUUGAUGGUUAUUAUGGUGUUGAUGGUUAUUAUGGGGAUGGUGGUUAUUAUGGUAAUUAUGGUUAUGGUGUUGAUGGUUAUUAUGGUGAUGAUGGUGUUGAUGGUUAUUAUGGGGAUGAUGGUUAUUAUGGUAAUUAUGGUUAUGGUGUUGAUGGUUAUUAUGGUGUUGAUGGUUAUUAUGGUGAUGAUGGUUAUUAUGGUGAUGAUGAUGAUGGUUAUUGUGGUGGUGAUGAUGAUGGUUAUUAUGAUGAUGAUGGUUAUGGUGUUGAUGGUUAUUGUGGUGGUGAUGAUGAUGGUUAUUAUGGUGUUCAUGGUUAUUAUGGUGGUGGGGAUGGUUAUUAUGGUGUUGAUAUUUAUUAUGAUUAUGAUGAUGAUGGUGGUUAUUAUGGUGAUGAUGGUUAUUAUGGUGGUUGGGUGUGGGUGGGUGGUGUCAGGGGACCUACCUGUGGUGUGGUUCCAGGAGGAGUGCAGUACAGCUCCCAGUGACCAUCCAAGCCCUGCUGGAUCAGCUGGGGGUCUUGUGGGGAGGAGACUGUUGCUCCUCAGAACCCCUCCCCUUGUUCUUCUUUGAGAUCACACUCACUACUGUCCUCGGGGCCAGUGGCUCAGAAUGGAACAAUUUCCUGUUCCUUGUCAGACAGCUGGUAGAGAGGGAGAUUCUGGCGAGAAGGAAGUGGUCCCAGUUACCCUGGCUAACAGAGUUCAUUGAGAAGAUUCAGCAGGAGUCUAUCCCCACUUUCUCCUCCUCUUCCUCUUCUAUGCCUCUGUUAGUCUUCUUCUGCCCACACCUCCUCCUCCUCCUAUUCUCUACCAAUGCCUGAGUUCUACAACCACGUGGACAUCCUGCAGGUCUCACUGCAACCUGUAGAGGGAGCCAACUGACCGCACAGACAGGCAACGGACAAAAAAUAUCUCUGUUGGCCAACAAUGCCCAGUCUUUUGAGUGAAAGGCUGACAGUAACAGGUGUAUCUGAACUAAUGUACUCUGACCAGACCCUGUUGGGAUUCCAGAUUCCUGAGACAGGAAACAUUAUUUCCCUGUAAUGUGGUUGGCUGGCACAGCCCUUAUUGUCCUGUCUAGAGUUGCAUAGGAAACCAGAAAGUCCUACUGAUCAGGACUGGUGGUGCCACAAACCAGGGUUUAUCAUGGAGGUCGACUUUGCAUUCUGAUUGAAGGUGAGGGGUGCAUUAUCAAUAAAGGGAUAAUGACAUACUUGAUGGACCAGCACUUUUAAAAAAUGAACACAAAAAACACAAAGAAAACCAAAUCCUCUGAAAAAAAAUAAGCCAAAAUCCCAAAUCCAUGUCCAUGUUUCACUGUGUGAG